rnacentral:ncRNA from 1 species
AAAGUUUUAUCCUUGCUAUUUAAUUUUUAUAUUUUUAUGCCACAUAUUUAUUUUGUUUCUAGAUGAGCUAUCUUGUAGUGGUUAUUUUUGUUUAUCAAGGCAUUUUGGAUACAGUAAUUUUUCUAUUCCUGGCUAAUUUCGUGCCAGCAGUCGCGGUUAUACGUUUAGGGUUAAGAAUUAUUUUUGGUUAGCAGUAGAUUUUAGGUUUUAUACUAUCUUAUAUUUUAGGUGGAAUUUAUAUUUUUGAAAAAAUUUUUUUUUGUGAUUCUGCGAAACUUGGGAUUAAAACGGGGAUUAGAUACCCCCCUAUAUUAAGUGUUAAUUUAUUUUGCCUGGGUAGUAUUAGUUAAGUUCUUGAAACUCAAAGGAUUUGGCGGUAUCUUAUUCUUUUCAGAGGAGCCUGUUCAGUGAUCGACAAUCCACGAUAGAUUUUACUUUUUUUUGUAUACAGCUUGUAUACCUCCGUCAUAGGAAUAUUUUUUAAGAAGGAAUAUUCUGCUACAAAUGUUUUGUUUAUGUCAGGUCAAGGUGCAGCUUAUGAAAAAGUUGAGAUGGGCUACAAUAGAUAUAUUUAUACGGAUUGCAAAAUGAAAUUUUUCAUUGAAGGCGGAUUUGAAAGUAAAUUGAUUUAUUUAUUUAUUUGAAUGUGGCUCUAAGAUAUGCACAUAUCGCCCGUCGCUCUCAGCAAUAAAUGAGAUAAGUCGUAACAUAGUAGAUGUAUUGGAAAAUGUAUCUAGUAAGAU